rnacentral:rRNA from 1 species
UACAGAGGGUGCGAGCGUUGUCCGGAAUCACUGGGCGUAAAGGGCGCGUAGGUGGCGCCCCAAGUCUGUGGUGAAAGCUCGAUGCUCAACAUCGAGUCGGCCACGGAAACUGGGGGGCUGGAGCACUGUAGAGGCUAAUGGAAUUCCGGGUGUAGCGGUGGAAUGCGUAGAGAUCCGGAAGAACACCGGUGGCGAAGGCGGUUAGCUGGGCAGUUGCUGACACUGAGGCGCGACAGCGUGGGGAGCGAACAGG